rnacentral:rRNA from 1 species
UACGUAGGGGGCUAGCGUUGUCCGGAUUUAUUGGGCGUAAAGAGCGUGUAGGCGGCCAUGUAGGUCCGGUGUGAAAACUCGAGGCUUAACCUCGAGAUGUCAUCGGAAACCAUUUGGCUAGAGUCCGGAAGAGGAGAGUGGAAUUCCUGGUGUAGCGGUGAAAUACGUAGAGAUUGGGAAGAACACCAGUGGCGAAGGCGGCUAUCUGGACGGUUUCUGACGCUAAGACGCGAAAGCGUGGGGAGCAAACAGG